UCGACAGAGGGCUGCAAGAAACGACAUCGAUUUAUAGGUUUGGCAUUACAUCAAACACAAGGCAUGCAGGGAUAACGAGGUCUCAGCGGGGUUUGACAACGCCGCAACCGGGCUGCCCAAAAAAAACCACGGAGUCGACGACGUGCUGCUCGACCACUACCAAGGUGCUGCUGCUGGCUUCAAGUGAGGAGAGGGCGUCGAGCCUGUUCACGGGCAACAAAAGGGAGGGGUGCAUCCAUGGCUGGAGGGGGCGAGCUGCAGGAAAAUAAAUAAAAAAACUGCAGGGCUAGGGCAAGCUCACCAUGGGGAGAAGAUGGAGAGGGGAUGGAGGACUCCCUGCUACAGGCGCCAUAAACAGAGGGAGGAAGCUUGCAUGAGGGAGAUGAAGAGAUGGAGGAGAGGCGUCCAUGGGAGGAGAAACAGCAACCUGCUCCCAGGCGUGACUUCAACGAGGACCGAGCGCAGGGGCACGACAGGGCUGAGGGCGAGCUCGGCGAGCACCAAGGGUGAGGUGGCGGCGGCACCCGCC
rnacentral:lncRNA from 1 species